rnacentral:rRNA from 1 species
UUGGAGGGCAAGUCUGGUGCCAGCAGCCGCGGUAAUUCCAGCUCCAAUAGCGUAUAUUAAAGUUGUUGCAGUUAAAAAGCUCGUAGUUGAAUUUCGGGAUCAAUGUUUCGGUCAUGCCGUUGGUAUGUACUGAUAUUAUUGGUUUCUCACCUUCUAAAGAACCGUAAUGCCAUUAAUUUGGUGUCACGGGGAAUUAGGACUGUUACCUUGAAAAAAUUAGAGUGUUUAAAGCAGGCUCACGUUUGAAUACAUUAGCAUGGAAUAAUGAAAUAGGACAUCCGAUUCUAUUUUGUUGGUUUCUAGGAUCGAUGUAAUGAUUAAUAGGGAUAGUUGGGGGCAUUAGUAUUCAAUUGUCAGAGGUGAAAUUCUUGGAUUUAUUGAAGACUAACUACUGCGAAAGCAUUUGCCAAGGAUGUUUUCAUUAAUCAAGAACGAAAGUUAGGGGAUCGAAGACGAUCAGAUACCGUCGUAGUCUUAACCAUAAACUAUGCCGACUAGGGAUCGGAUGAUGUUAAUUUUUUAAUGACUCAUUCGGCGCCUUACGGGAAAC